rnacentral:rRNA from 1 species
CCUUCGGGCUUUCUGCAAGGUGCUGCAUGGUUGUCGUCAGCUCGUGCCGUGAGGUGUCGGGUUAAGUCCCAUAACGAGCGCAACCCUUAUCGUUAGUUGCCAUCUGGUAAUGCAGGGGACUCUAGCGAAACUGCCACCGUAAGGUGAGAGGAAGGUGGGGAUGACGUCAAAUCAGCACGGUCCUUAUGUCCAGGGCUACACACGUGUUACAAUGGUCGGUACAGAGGGCAGCUACCUGGUGACGGGAUGCUAAUCUCGAAAACCGGUCUCAGUUCGGAUCGAAGUCUGCAACUCGACUUCGUGAAGCUGGAUUCGCUAGUAAUCGCGCAUCAGCUAUGGCGCGGUGAAUACGUUCCCGGGCCUU